CAGAGUCCUUUUUUUACAAAACAGAAGCCCCAAAUGCGAAACCGUCCACUAACUAUUCACUCUCAGACGAUGUUAAAUAUCGUCGACGACGAUUAAUCCCUGCCGAAGACGUGUGCAUAGGAAAUGAAGGAAUGUGGUGGUUCCAGUUUAUCGGCCUUUGCAGUGAAUCUGGAGUUUAGGAACUUUGCAAGUGAUUUCCAGUGCCCAAUUUAUUGGUCAAAUUUAUGGUUGCAUAUUCAGAUUUGUUUAGUUUUGUAACCCCCAAUGAUAGUUUUCUUAUGCAUUGGGUAUGUAACAGAAGCAACAUUGUAAUGGGUAGUGGGAUGAUUACCUACAUGGUUUUAACAAUUGUGUGAUCAUUUUUUUCAACAUAAGGCAACGUUCUAAUGGAGAGUGGGAUGAUUAACUUUA